UACGAAGGGGGCUAGCGUUGCUCGGAAUCACUGGGCGUAAAGGGUGCGUAGGCGGGUCUUUAAGUCAGGGGUGAAAUCCUGGAGCUCAACUCCAGAACUGCCUUUGAUACUGAAGAUCUUGAGUUCGGGAGAGGUGAGUGGAACUGCGAGUGUAGAGGUGAAAUUCGUAGAUAUUCGGAAGAACACCAGUGGCGAAGGCGGCUCACUGGCCCGGUACUGACGCUGAGGUGCGAAAGCGUGGGGGAGCAAACAGG
rnacentral:rRNA from 1 species